AAAUAAAACAAGUUCUCAAAAAUUUCUCGAACAAUCUUCAAAAUUCCUACAAUAGCCUACAUCUCACGAAAGCCUAUAUACCAGAAUUGUGAAAAUGAUGUACUCUAUAUUGGACACCAAGCUGUAAAGUGACCGAUAUGAAGAUACAUACAUCGUGACAUACUCCGAUCCAAACACGACCUGCCAGUGUAUACAUCGUACUUAUUAACGUCGCUACAACCACCCGUUUUAGAUAAACGUGGCAAGAGCGUUAUUAACAAGCGUUGAUUGGUCACAGCCGGACGGUCUGUCAUCGAUCUGGCAUCAGAAAAUGAUUCGACGUUAUCUCUCCUGCACGACAGCUUCCAGUUUCAGAUGACAGGGCGGCUCGUAACGAACAGGUUUAAUCAGUAUCAGGAAUAUCCUGUGGGUUUGUGUGUCGUGUCCGUACUUUAAAUCCGGCGCAUCACUAUCCCCGCAAGCGCGUUUCGAAUGUAGGAAGCACAGGCAGGCAAUUAUAGGAUUAUUCCUAUUGAAUUUCCCAGGAGGUUUGAAAAGAGAACGGAAAGAAUUCGAACGGUUUACCAGUUCUUUUCUUUCGUUCUAUAUUUAUAUUUUUUGUUUCCUUUUUCUCUCUCUCUUUCUCUUCCUCUCUUUUUCUUUUGAAAAAGAGUUCAGAUGCUGGUGUACAACGUGUACACUGCAACGUUUUGUUUAAAUCGUGGCCAUUGUUGAGGACGCGUAGCAAUUUCGUGGCGGGAGAAUUUGAAUGUAUGUCGCCUCUUUUGGCUUUGCUCGUUGUACAAAAAAGGUAAAUUGAAACUGGGUCGAAAUUAAAUGAACGAGGAUUGUAUUGUUUUCAAGGCAACUUGGAAUUGGAAUGGAAUUUUUUUAUUAUUUUAUCGUGUGGAAGAUGAAGAGAAGGAUUUAGAAGGAUGUAUUGCGCGAUUUUAUUAUUUUAUUAUAUAUUUAUUAUUUGAUAUAUCUGUAAAUAUUGAGAUGAUUAAGAAUAUGAUAUUUUAUAAGGUGCGGAGAGAGAUUUUUUUUCAGUUAUCAUCACGAAACUUCACGCAAAAUGAAAUAAUUUUGAAAAAUGGAGAUUUAAAAAAUUAAAAUUAAAAUAGUUCGUGUCUAUUUUCAUUUUUCUUUUCAAUAAUUUAAUAAAACUGUGCUCGCGCUAUACAAUAUUUAUAUCAAUUGUUGCAAUGAAAUAGUGUACGAGAACAAUUUGUUUCUAUUUUAUUAUUUUAAAUUGAUCUUUUCAAUUUGUUUAAUAUACUCUUCAUUUAAAUGACUCUUAUAUUUUUUUUUAUUUGCUUGCAUUGAUCAGGUUAUAUUUUGGGAAUUGCAGAGCUUUGUGAGAAACUCUAGUUUCAGAACAUUUUGCUUAACCAUUCUCAUUGACCGUUUGACUGUAACACGAUUAAGGGACAAAAUUUCAAAGCUCCUUAACGCGAUCGUAUUAUGUUUUACUGAAACCAUGAAUUGGAAAAUAAACUUAGGCGUGCACAAGUAACUUCUACAUUAGCUAAUAACAGAUUAGAAAUACAGAUCCAUUACACGUCUUGUUUAUCGAGCGUUAAAAUCUUUUCUCGUUGCUAUAUAUCCCGUUAUUAAUUACUUUUAUCAAAAAAAGAACGAGAUAUAUUCACUCUGAUAAUUUCUUCUAAUUUGUAAUUACACUAUUGGAUUAAUUUCUGCUUUCACUUUGCCAUUUAUAUCUUGAAUUCUAAAAAUGUAAAAUAUCUUGUACAUUUACAAAUAUCUGCAAUAAUUCUGUGCAUUCAUCCCCAAACAUUUUCUAAUUUUCUAAAUCUCUGAACAUUUCAAAACAUAUUCAAACAUCUUCAAACGACUUGCAACAAUCUCCUACCUCAAAAUAUCAAAAAGAAAACUCCAAAAAUAAUUUUUAACUAUUCAAAAAAUAUCGCCAACACAACUCAUCCAAACGCCAAACAAAUCUCGAGCACCGUGUACCAAAUUAUUCAUUUUCUGCCGCGUUUCCAUUCCAACGAAAUCACCCUUUUGCCGCUGUCUGGUUGCAGAACGUAUGUGUGUGUGGAAAGAGAGAGACAGUGGUGGAGAGUGGAGAGAGCGCGUGUGAGAGAGAUUUAAGGCGGGCCGUAAUAAUUUUGAAUUCGGUUAACCCCGACUCUGACACCGGGACAAGCUUCUCCGCCCUACUUCGCGAACGAGCACCCGGUUUUCCUUGCAACGUCGGCCUGCCCUCUCUGGAACUGCUGCACGCCGAGAUAACCGCAAUGAAUCAUCGCCCCGAUAACCAGACACGCUCAUUCGUGGAACGUUCACUCGCGACCCGUAUCGUAUCGCGACACGGGCCCAAAUUCGUGGGAACGUUCCCUCGCCACCGACUUUGUCAAGAUUCGGCGGAACUGGACACCGAUUUGUCACAAAUUAUUAUGGCAACAUCGAAUUUGAACUUGGAUAAGAUUGGAAUGUAAAUUAAUUUCAGUCUUCGCACGAUUGUUAUUGUAUCGCAAGUUAUAUCGAGGUCGAUGCACACAUACAUGUAUUCUCAAUCAGUCGAGUUUAUAUUCAGAAUUUAUAUGUACGUUCUGGCAUACAAUUCUUGUCGAAGUCAGACUCGAAUAUAAAUGUAGUAUCUAAUAUAUUCGAUAUUUUUAUACCAAUAUUGAAAAUAUUUUCGUACGUUUUUUUUUCUUUUCUAAUAAAUUUUUAUAUCGUCGUUGAUUCUAGAAGUUAAAAAAGUGCAUUUUUGAGAGUGAACCAUAAAAAUCAAUAUUCGAUGACUUUAAUGUAAUAAUAACAAGUGAAUAAGUGUGAUCCAUGAUUUUCUGGUACAAGAAUUAUUAUAAUAAACACGGGACAAAUCGGUUAGUAACGUUGAAAUAAAUCUUUCCUUCUAACUUGUGAAGACGUGCUGCGACAUAAAUCAGUGGAAAGCUGUGAAACUGGUAAAAGACUCGAACGAUAAAACUUUUCCGUCGAGUUACUUCGCUUUCGUCCGAGAUUAAUAAUAUACGGGAUGUGAACACGGCUUAAGCGUCCCUGUUUUAAUUAAAUUGAAAUCCGCAAUGAAGUCUAUUAGACUCUCUAUUUAAAAGAGUCUGAACAUGAUAAAAGAAGCAUUAUUAAUGUCUGACAAGAUACUAAAGGUACUCUGAUAGAGAGUAAUUCAAUGAUAAAUAAUAAAAAUAAUGCGUUUCGUAAUUCUAUUUCGGAAAUCUCUUGGUUAAAUACUAUGAUAAAUGAAAUAUAUAUAUAUAAAUGUACAGAAUGAUAAAAAAAAUAUAUAAAUAUAAAUUUGUCUAUUAUUUUUCAAUGGAUAUUUCAUUCAGUAUUUAAAUAAGAAAUGUAUGUAUUAAUUUUACAUAUAAUGUAUGUGUUGUGUGUUGUUGAAAUUGAAAAUACUUUCAUAAUGAAAAAUAUUUAUUAAUGCAUCAUUUAUGCUACAUUAAUGUAAACGAUGUAUGUAUAAAGAUUGUGUUAAUAUCGACGAAUUAAUGAAAUAAUUAAGGGAUUACCAAAACAAAAUAUUUUUUAAAUUAUAAAAAAAACCAAGAAAUUUUAUCUUUCGAAAUUUGUAAUCUGAUGCUGUCAAGAAUUUCGAUCGAAUCUUCGAAUAAUUCUCUAUUGUUCUCCACAAUUAAUUGAGAGAUCAUAUCCAUUCUACAUAGAUUACGCGAUGUUAACUAUGCCGGAGAAUUUCGUUUGGAUUAAUUCCAUGCAUAACAGAAUCUUCUAGUAAUUCUAUCGGCCUUCCAUACUUGUGUCCAUUUACUCUCAUUUCUUGAAGUAAUAAUAGGGAGAAGAGAGAAGGAGAUAAUUAAUAUUUUAAAUAAAUAAUUUAUUCAAUGUAUAAAAAAGUAAUUUCAGAAUACUUCAUAGAAAUUAACGUACGUAAAGUGUGAACAAUGAAUAUCUGGAACAACAAAAUCACUAUUGACUGUUGAACACACAUAGUUUGUAUACAGAUUUUGAUGAACAGAAAAUUAAAAAAUUAAAAUAUAGUACAUCGUUGACGACAUCACCAGAAGACACGUUCAAAAAAAUUCAUGAAAUUCAUUUUUUUCUACUUGUCCAGUGCAUUUUAUCUCAUAUCAGAAAUAUUAUCAUACAAAGUAUUAAAAAAUCACGAAUAAUUAAUAUUAAUUCAUAAAGAUUAUAUUAUAUAUCUAAAUAUUUUAUUAAUUAAAUCUUUUAAACUAUCAAACUUUUUAAACACCUUUGAUAAAAUUAACAUUUUAGUUUUUAUCUAUUUAUUCUAUUCUAUUUUGUUUUCUACACGUAUUCGUCACGUUUCUUGCCUCCACUUUUCGCAAAUAAUCCACAACGAAGAGAACGAAAAAAAAAAAUCUCACAAACUAAGCAAAAAAAAAAAAAAGCAUGCUUCAAAUGCAAUACCACUCUUAAAUCAAACCACGAAGAAUAUACCACUCACCCAUUUUUAAGAAUUCGAAACUCAGCGCAACAAGCAGCGAAACAGAGCCAAUAGAACUGGGGAUAUUCACCACACGCGACGAGAACUCUCAAAACUUCAACUCAUUUCCCUCGAAAUCCCAUGAGGGUUCGCGUGUCGCUGCAGUGCAUUCAAGCUUUAUGCAAAUUUCAUCGUACGAAUCCUCGCAGUUAGCGCGAGUUAAUCAGGUCGUCCAUUCUGUCCCGCGUUAUUCAUCGAGACAUUUUGGAACGAUCGUCUUGUUCAACGGCUACGCGCGCUCUUUGGAGCGGCCAUUUUGCUAAGCGGGCUCGUUCCGCGUUGAAAAACGACCAUUUUGUACGUAGGAAAUGCGAGUAUGGAGCAGGAAACGAUGGGGAAAAAAGAAUGGAAAAAAAGAAAAUCGUUGGAGAAAAAUGUAACGGGGAUGGGAGAGCGUGUUCCCGUGUCGGGUUAUUGUCGUAGGCGGUUAAGGGAUGCGUUGAAAUAACGCUUAAUGGAACGAAACGUAAUCUAAUUUCCGAUUCGAAAGGGUGAAUGAGGAUUUAACGUAGCGAAGGUUUUAUUAUAGUUAAGUAGAAGAUAUUAUAAUUCAUGUAUGCUUAUUUUUGUUUACGAUAUUUUAUAAAUUGGACGUAAAUUUUUACAGACUAUUUCUAUAAAUUCAUUUUUUGUAUUAUUCAAGUAUAAAUUCAAAUUCGUAGCGUCUUAUGUAUUGUACGCAUUCGAAUUCUCCCUAAACUUUACAAACUUUAGAGAACAUUGCAUGAAUGACGAGGAUGAAUGAAGACUUUGAAACGAUCGCAAGAAAGUUUCAGUUAUCAUGACAGCAACUUGUUUCAUGGAAAUGUGUUUGGAAAAGUUAUAAAGUAACAAUUACUUGCCCCGAUAUAGUAGCUUUAAUUAUACGGAGAAUUUCAUUGAAGGAACUUGAAGAAAAUUUAAUAUUAUACUAUUCUCGAUUCUAUAUCUCAAGGCAAUUAUUGUAUAAAUUGUAUAAAUGCAACAUACAAAAUUUAAUCCAUUUACAUUUUCAUAUUCCUAACAACCAAUUAUGUAUACAUUCAGCACGCGUAAUUAAGAUGAGAAGUUAUUUUAUAUAAUUAAUUAAUUUCACAAAUUAGAUAUACGAAAUCUCGAUUCGUUCUCAUGUCUCAAAAUAUCUUACAUUCCCCUCGAUGAAUUAAUUUACAAAAUCUAUCUCGCAAACAUAAUUAUAUAUAUAUAUUCAUAAUCGCAAUUUCCAAACAGAUAAUCAUCAUGCAUACACGUAAUCUCUUGCUUCCAAAUUUUAUCUCCUCGUCAAAAUUCAGACACCGCUCAGGGUCGCAUUUGCCCGCCAAUCCAACGAGAACGAAAUAAGAGAAUUAAGAAAGCGAGGAGGAGGGAAGAAAAGAAAGGAAAAACUUUAGAGCAUGAAAAGAAGAAUUGAGAGGGGGGGAGGUAAAAAGAACGACGGCACCUUCACUUUUCACACGGCGUCACACUCGUUAUUUCAUGCUCGUUAACCCCGGGCAUCGGGCAGCGGCCAGUUCGUAGCCGCGUUGCUUUUUAAUUAAAAAUUCUAGCCGCCUGUAGACGGUAAUUUGAAUUCAUAGGUAGCCGCCAUUGUCUCGGGAAACGGCGCGUUCUCUGGCACUGGUUUUUUCUUUUUUUUUUUUCUUCUAAAAAAAACCAAUGCACAAGAAGAAGACACACAGACGAUAACGAUAAUUAUCAUCCCUUUAGGGAGGAGAUAUUUCUUUUCGCCUCGAUUUGACCGAGAAAUGUAAAAUGCACGACCAAUUUUUUUUUCUUUCUAAAAAGAAAAAUUCCGCUAAUGGAAAAUAUUGACCGUGAGAUGGGGAACACAUGGCUGAGUUUUUGCAAAAAAAAAAAAGAAAUAUCCUCGUGUAGUAAGUUAUAAUUCUGAAUGAAAUUGGAAAGUGAAUGAAUAAAAGGUGGAUAAAGAUGCGAAGGAAAUGUUUGAAAAUGAUUUUAAAGAAUAGAAAGCGAGCGAGGUCUCUUAUCUUCCUGGUUUGACUUCCGGUUAGAUAAGAGACAAUUGUUGUCCUCGCAAAUUUCGGUUGAAAUUGCUGGGAAAAUAUUUGCAAGUCUUUGACGUCGUCGAGAAACGCGAUAAGGGAAAUAUUCGUUUGGUUUGCUAAGAUUCCGUUAAUGUUAUCUCGCCUAGAAAUUUUCGCGAGGGUGGAAUAAAUAAAUUUUGGCAUGUUUUAUUAAAAGAAAAUUGUUUUUUUGUAUUAAACUGUAAAAAAAAUCUUUGUAAUAUGAUGAUAAAAAUGCAAUCACGUUGAAAUUCAGUCAUUUAAAAAUGAAGGGAAGAAAUUCAGAAUAAGAUCAAGCUGCACGAAGAGAUUAACUUUUGUUUUAAAAAAUUAAUAAAAGUCGUAUUUAAAUGAUAAUUUUAAUGAAUACAAUUUAUAAUGAUACCAGCCAUUCAAAACUAUUCAAAAGUAAUUUCUGGAUCUAUAUAAUCCUCGACAGUGUCUAAUUUAACGAAUAUUCUAUAUUUUCUACCACAUCACGGAUAGCUUUAACCACAUUCUGUGAUUGUAAGUUGGUAUUCUGCGCCAGAUCCUUGAUACUCUUCUGUGAAAUAUGACCGGAAAUUAUCUACAUACAUCUGCAAAUGGGUCAUACGCGAUAUACUAAUACUAAAAUUCAGAAAAUGAAAUCAGAUUUCAAUAUCAAAUUUCAAAAAAGAAAUUAAUAAAUCUUAUUUUAUAAUCCUACAUUAAAUGUAUUAAUUAAUUGAUUCUCUAUUAAUAUAUCACGUAACAUAAAAUAUAUGUAUAAAAUUUAAUUUAAAAUAUUUUUACAGAAAAAAUAAAAUAUAAAUCAAUGAAAUGGAAUAGCCAAAAAUUAAAAAGAAAAAUAUCGAAAACUAUUGAUCAAAAUUUAUGUCCAUGUCCAUGUUUCAAAAAUGCAAGUUUGUUUAUUCAUAGAAAAAAGUACAGUUGGGUUUACGAGUGCAACAUAGUCGAGUUCUGUUCAGUUGUUGGAGCAGAGAGCAUACUAGAAACGUGUGUAGAAUGUUCAGUGAAAUGUUUAUUUGUACGGUAUUAUUUUGAAAAUGAUACAGAGGAUUGCAUUGUCACUGCAUGUACACUCUACUUUAAAAUACCUAAUAAAAAUGUAUACAUUAUUCUUUC